ensembl:lncRNA
CUCAGUUUAGCCAUUUCAAGAACUUUGCAAGCAUGGAUGGAGGGAGAGCAAGAGGAAGAGGAGGAGGAGGUCAAAGAGGCCAUGCACGGACCCAUAUUUCUGAUGAUAUAAGAGCAACUUUGGUGGACCAUGUCAUCAACCAUGGCCUGACUAUGAGGGAAGCUGGGCAGAGAGUCCACCCACAUCUAAGCCGCUUCACAGUGGCAUCUGUAAUACGAACAUUCCGACUAGAAAACAGGUAUGUCUUCACCUCCAUACCUUCUGCUCUACUCAGAUGGUUCCAUAGCACUGUUCUACAGUAUAUCACAUUACCAUAUCAAGUGUACGGGGUGCUAAUGCUCCUUUUGCAGCCAAAGUGGUAGUUUCUGUGAAACAUACCAUGAUUACUUAUAUUGAAGUACAGUGUUGUACAGUGGAUGAUACAGUAUAUACAGUGAAGUACUGUAAGAAAAACAAGCAAACCGAUGACAAUAUGUGGUUGUAUUUCUCUAGAAUGACUCGAAGACCUUCUGGGGGAGGACGCCAACGCCUGUUCACACAACGGCAGGAACUUGCUGUUGUGGACCUAGUGAGGGCAGACAAUGCCAUCCGUCUCCACCAGCUACGACGGAAAAUACUUGCAGACAGGCGAGUGUUCAGCAACAUAGACCAUGUGAGCAUCACCACCAUCAGACGCAUCUUGGGUAAACACAGCAUCACCAUGAAGCAGCUCUACAGAGUCCCAUUCAAGAGGAACAGUGACAGGGUCAAAGGACUUCGAGCUGAAUAUGUACGGAGAAUCUUGGCCAUGGAUGGAGCUGCACAGCCUCAUGAAUACAUUUUCAUUGAUGAAGCUGGAUUCGACCUGAGCAAUGCGGCGACAUUCAGGUGACAGCAAUCCAUGGAUGGUUUUGACAUGGAAGAGGAUAUUUUCCCCGGUGCCUAGCGGGAGAAGACAUUGCUUGCGAUGUUGAUGAGGUCCUGUGGCCAGACCCCAACAGACGGCGGGAUCCAUGAGCCCACUAUUCAGUUGAGGGCCAGCACAGUGGCAGUAGUUACCACAGUUUCCUCACAGCAAGAAGAUCCUGAGUUCAGCUCCACCACCUCACCAGGGCCUUACUGUGUGGAGUUUACAUGUUUGGAUGGGUUCUCUUCAGACUCUUGUUUGUGCAGCCCACCUCUUUCCCAUCUCCAGCUCACAGACACCUCAGUCAGAGUUCCAUCCAAGCCUCAGCCUGUUACUGCAAUCUGAAGACUGCUGAA